rnacentral:misc_RNA from 1 species
GCUUACACUGACAUGUGUAUGCUCGGGUCCCACGGAGAGGAUUGAGACGAGCCCUGAGUCGUGCAGCAACAGGGUAAUUGUUGCGGAGGAAGAGAUAAUCAGUGUUGUCUGACCACUGAAACCCUUCAAAGACACUCCUUCUCCUCUGAGGUCAAUAACCCCCAGCUGUCGACUUUAUUGGCACCUCCUGCCAAGGUGCUUUGGGGCCAUGCUGUUUUCAGUUUUCUCCCUGGUCUCCCACCUUCUUCAACUGCUCCUAGGAGAGUGGCAAUGAGUGGUUGCCAGUAGGGCUGAGGAUGCUGUAGACCCAUGCUUCAACGUAUCUAGUUCUGAGGAUGAA